rfam:Dipodomys ordii contig_61504, whole genome shotgun sequence.
GGGAAUGUGGCUUAGUGGUAGAGUGCUUGCCUAGCAGGCAUGAAGCCCUGGGUUCAAUUCCUCAGUACCA